rnacentral:rRNA from 1 species
GGGCCCGCACAAGCGGUGGAGCAUGUGGUUUAAUUCGAUGAUACGCGAGGAACCUUACCAGGGCUUAAAUGCAGAAUGACAGAUUGGGAAACCAGUCCUUCUUCGGACAUUUUGCAAGGUGCUGCAUGGUUGUCGUCAGCUCGUGCCGUGAGGUGUCAGGUUAAGUCCUAUAACGAGCGCAACCCCUAUUCUUAAAAGUUGCCAGCGGGUAAUGCCGGGAACUCUAAGGAGACUGCCAGCGCAAGCUGCGAGGAAGGUGGGGAUGACGUCAAAUCAUCACGGCCCUUACGUCCUGGGCUACACACGUGCUACAAUGGAUGGUACAAUGGGCAGCCACUACGCGAGUAGGAGCUAAUCCUCAAACCAUUCUCAGUUCGGAUCGGAGUCUGCAACUCGACUCCGUG